ensembl:lncRNA
CCUCUGCCUUGUGGGAUCCAAAAACAAAGUUCUGUGAGUUUGCUUCAUUUUUCCUGCUCUGGUCUCUGUAGUUACUGUCGCCAACCCCUUGCCUCCUGGACAGAUCUCCCGUCUCCUGAGAGGUCCCCACCAGAACGUCUUUAUAUGACAACUGCCCUACUGAUUGACUUGGACCUGAGGCAGGUUCUGUUCUGUUCUGAUCUUUUCUCUUAGAUGUCUUCUCAGGCACCUCCUGUGUUACUGAGGGAGCUGGACUAGUAGAUUGUUUUUGACUAGUGUUUGGCUCAUCUGUUGGGUCAGAACCCCUCUGAUCACCAAGGGAUACUUGGGAUUGGUCAACACACUUCUUUGAGUUUGCUUCAUUUGUUAUAUUCUCGUCGGUCUGGUUACUAGAGGUCUUCAGUUCAUUCAGAACUCUAACCUCUGUGUUGCCUUCACCAUCAAGGCUUUUUGAUGGCUCCGUUGACCCGUGUGACGUCCCCUUCAGGUCUUCCUCAUCCAAGAGUUUACUGGCUGGUUGAGUUGGGUCUGAGGCACGUCCUCCUGUGUUCUGAUCAGCUGUCUCGGGUGUGGAUGAGGCCUGUGUGACUGAUGUAGGACUAGGUUGGUUUGGCUCAUUCACUGGUGCGUCUACGUUUGCCUUCGAUGGACCCUUGGCCUGGUCUUCUGGCAGUGUCUGGUGUGGGGAUGGGUUUGGAGAGGCUAUAGGUAUGGUUGGAGGGCCAGUAGGUGUGGCGGUGAUGACAGGAGGGCCAGUAGGUGUGGCAAUGUUGACAGGAGGGCCAGUAGGUGUGGUGGUGUUGACAGGAGGGCCAGCAGGUGUGGUGGUGUUGACAGGAGGGCCAGUAGGUGUGGCAGUGUUGACAGGAGGGCCAGUAGGUGUGGCGGUGUUGACAGGAGGGCCAGUAGGUGUGGCAGUGUUGACAGGAGGGCCAGCAGGUGUGGCGGUGUUGACAGGAGGGCCAGUAGGUGUGGCAGUGUUGACAGGAGGGCCAGUACGUGUGGCAGUGUUAACAGGAGGGCCAGUAGGUGUAGUGGUGUUGACAGGAGGGUCAUCCACCACUGAAGUAGAGCUCUCACUGACAGACAACUCAUCUUUCUCUUGACGUGUGUCAGUGCUCAGCUCAAUAGCGCUGGAAGAGCCUCCACUCUAUGAACAAUGUAUACAAAAAUGAGGCCUUUUAACACAUAAAUCAUUAAGGAUCAGCAUUUCUGAUUCAUAAGCCCUGCCCAUUAAAGCGUUCCCAUUCCAUGCUAAUUUCACUGGGUUCCCUUGACUUAAAACCCACGUCUGGUCACAUCCUAACGUCACAAAUUGAAAGUGUGACUGGUUCUGUUUAAACAAAUAUAUAAUUGUAAAUCUCUUAUC